UCGCCAGAAUAAUGUGAAACUGCUACGUUUUGGUUGCUAUGAACAAUAUUUUGAGUUAGUUUCUGCAUAAAAAUAAGGUUUGAUUACAUUUUUAGCGAGAAAUAUAUAUUCUAUUUUCAUAAUAUUCACUCAGUGAAUGUCAACCCGUUCUCACUCCUGACCGUUCUCACGCUGAAGAAGUCUCAUUCAGAACACAUCGCGAUAUUUGGCAUCAGUUCGCGUGUGCUGGAUGUUGGUAAGUAGUCGUAAAUACGCUGUUCUAAUGUUUGAUAUAAUGUCUUUUCUGUUUGCAGAUAUUAAUCAGAUUAACGUUAGCUCCCUCAUGUUCAGUCACUGCAUUAUAUCUGUCACCUCCGCUAAGGUUUUGCUUUUCAUUGUUUUCUAUAUUAAAUACUAAACUAGGGUGAUUAAACACUGUCACGUGACGUGCAAUAUAUUGCACAAUAUAUAUAACAUAUUCAUAUCAGGUUCAAAGUAGUACAAGUGUAGUUUCAAAAUGGUAUUUGUUGUAGAAGCACGGUAAAAAACAACACUUACCAUGGUUUUUACCACAGUAUUGGUAGUUUUAAUGUGAUUUUUGUUGUAAAUACAGAGUAACCACAACACUUAUCAUGCUUUUAAUGCCUAAUAAUGUUAAAUCCAAAAACUGUAAGGUCAAUAAGAACUUCUUUCCUAUAUAUAUUUAUAUAUAAACCUAUAUAUUAUAAAUAAUGAUAUUUUCUUUUCUCUUGUUUUAGCUGAAAAGACAAAAAGGGCCUUUUGGAAAUGGAUGAAGGAGACAGAAAGCUGCAAAGGCAAAUAAUUGCAAUGGAUUACUUGCAGAUUACUUAGUCCUUCUUUUUAGGAUCUCUACAACAUCAAACUCAACAGCUCUUUUAAGAGCCGACCCUCACAAGAGCUACUAGUGAGUCGCUGCAAACCUGCCGUGAUCAGCCCUUUCCAGAGAAGGAAGACCAGUCCUUAUAUCAAAGCAAGCUCAUCGAAGUCCUUUGUUUAGGGUGAGGAAGGAACAUGACCAUCUCAUGCCCAAAGAAGACAGAAGUCCAUUGAUAGCAAGUGAAGUCACUAACAGAAGAUCCUAGAGGAAAAACGACUGAUGUGCGGCUACGGAGGAACACAAGAGGCAGAAAUAUGCAUGGCCAUGGCUUCUUCAUGAGUACGACCAGGACUGAAGAACGCCUGACAAUGGGAUGUUAAGACUUCUUCCUCUGGUUGAGAAAAAGCUACAGCACAUCAGUGAUCACAUCUUCUGGUCAUCAGUUGUACUGUAGAGUACAACUGAACAAACUGUUUAGAAGAAGAAGAACAUGAACAUGAUAGAGACAUGUACAGGGAAGAGCAAGAACCCAGUUCAGCUGUGAUAAUGAAUCUUUAUUUUAAACUCAAUAUCAAAUCUGUUUUCUGGAUCGUAGUUGACUGGAUGGGAUUCUGUGGCGCUCAUUUGUGCAAUAGGAGUAAAAUCUGUGAAUGGAUUAUUAUGACGUUAACGUAUUUUUGAAGACACGUUUUUAUUUAUCUUGAAUCUCAUUUGUCUUUAUGCAAAUUUCAACCUUAUGCUGUAUCCUCCAAUAAAGUGUUGUGUAAUAAA